UAAAAAUAAGUACAUAUGGUGCAUUCCAUUCUAAAGAAAAAUGAGAAUAUCCGGGACUCUCGGGAUUAUACUGAUUAGAAUUUAAAUCUGAUUGUCUCAUCGAGAGGUCCAACAAAAAGCACUGACUUUAAGUGUCGUUUUCAAACAGAAAUGAAACUGGUUUGCACAAUGGAUCUGUUUGUUGAAAAGCACUUUUAAUGAGUAGCUCACCCGCAAAAUUUGAUCUGGUCUGAUAUCACAUUUUUAGACCUUCUGACACAACGGGGUGGGAAAAUUGAAUCUCGCUUCGGAAAACUUUUAGAAGUAAUUUAGUGGAGCUCAUAUCUCAAUAUUUUUUCAAUGCAUCAUAUCAAUCGUCAUAAUUAUAUUGAAAGUUGAAAGAUAUUUCUAUUUAAAAAGAUUAGACUUUAUCCCUAUACAGAAGCAAUUUCUCCUGUUCUGUUUGAGAGGUCUGGGAUGGCGCGGUUACCAUUUUCCAUCAUCGUCCGUCGUCACUUGAAUCUUUUGAAUACAGGGGAAGAGGUGCCCUCUGUAACUGGGUUAAAAUACAUUCAUACACUCAAAAAAUGAUUUUUUCGCCUAAUUAGAAAGGCCGAAUCAAAAAAUGUUGUUCUACAAAAGUUUCAGUUUUUGUAAAUUUAAUGAAAAAAGAAAAUUAAAAAAUAUUCAAGCACUUUGACAUACACAGACCGUCAUUUCAACGCCAUAGACAUCAAUCUAAUUUUGCCAAAGAUGACCUUCAAAAAACUUUUAGAAAAUAAGAUUAGGACUAUUUAUAAAUAGUGUUAAUGCAGUUAA